rnacentral:rRNA from 1 species
UACGGGAGGCAGCAGUGGGGAAUAUUGCACAAUGGGCGAAAGCCUGAUGCAGCUAUGCCGCGUGUAUGAAGAAGGCCUUAGGGUUGUAAAGUACUUUCAUCGGGGAGGAAAAAACAAAACUAAUAAUUUUAUUUCUUGACGUUACCCGAAAAAGAAGCACCGGCUAACUCCGUGCCAGCAGCCGCGGUAAUACGGAGGGUGCUAGCGUUAAUCAGAAUUACUGGGCGUAAAGAGCACGUAGGUGGUUUUUUUAAGUCAGAUGUGAAAUCCCUGGGCUUAACCUAGGAACUGCACUUGAAACUGAAAUACUAGAGUAUCGUAGAGGGAGGUAGAAUUCUAGGUGUAGCGGUGAAAUGCGUAGAUAUCUGGAGGAAUACCUGUGGCGAAAGCGGCCUCCUAAACGAAUACUGACACUGAGGUGCGAAAGCGUGGGGAGCAAACAGGGAUUAGAUACC